CUGCCCCCUGUGAGCUUCCCUUUGUCAUCCUAUGCCUGAGCCAUGGCCGAGGCUGGGACGGUGAAGGGAGGCCCACGGGCUGCCACA
rfam:Patagioenas fasciata monilis isolate BTP2013 Sc31e1R_215, whole genome shotgun sequence.